rnacentral:rRNA from 1 species
AUGAACGCUGGCGGCGUGCCUAAUACAUGCAAGUCGAGCGAACAGACGAGGAGCUUGCUCCUCUGACGUUAGCGGCGGACGGGUGAGUAACACAUGGAUAACCUACCUAUAAGACUGGGAUAACUUCGGGAAACCGGAGCUAAUACCGGAUAAUAUAUUGAACCGCAUGGUUCAAUAGUGAAAGACGGUUUUGCUGUCACUUAUAGAUGGAUCCGCGCCGCAUUAGCUAGCUGGUAAGGUAACGGCUUACCAAGGCGACGAUGCGUAGCCGACCUGAGAGGGUGAUCGGCCACACUGGAACUGAGACACGGUCCAGACUCCUACGGGAGGCAGCAGUAGGGAAUCUUCCGCAAUGGGCGAAAGCCUGACGGAGCAACGCCGCGUGAGUGAUGAAGGUCUUCGGAUCGUAAAACUCUGUUAUUAGGGAAGAACAAAUGUGUAAGUAACUAUGCACGUCUUGACGGUACCUAAUCAGAAAGCCACGGCUAACUACGUG